UACAGGUCUUAUAAAUACAAGGAUAUGUGCAAGCCACAAAUGGAGAGGGAUCCAGGUCAAGCAGACAGAGAAUGGUAUCUUCAGAGUCAGUGGAGCCUGCUGUCCAGGCAGGGAGUUUUCCUGGGAGCACCCUGCGUCAGACACCAUUUGCUUGAUACCACAUCUCUUGCUGAGGCCCUGCUACCCAGAGGCAUCUCACCACAGUAUGAACCGGUCUGCCAGCUCUGGCUGGUUCUUGAGCAGGGCUUGUGGUGUGGGACCAGAUCCAGCAGGAAGUUAAGGCUUAGUGUGGCACAGGGAGAGGUUCUGGCUGAGCACCAGCGUGCUGUGAUGUUGAAGGCCAAUUGCAAAACCAAGAGCUGGGGGGGGGGACUGAGGGAAGUAACUCACAAAGUCACAAUCCAGGGAGGCAUUUAAGGUCAAGAUCUAGGUGUAAAUGAUUAGAAAUGAAGGAGGGAAGAAAAAUGUGAAAAACAGAGAGCACAGCUGUGUUUAAAGAAGAUCAGAGGACUUGAGGAAAGAAUAGGUAGCUUUGGGAAACUGAGGGCAAUGUUGAUGCAUGGGCAGAACCUGCACCAUAAAUCUUGGCACAGCUGCAAAGCAGCAGAUGUUUUUGUGCUGUUGGGAUACUCUGUCUGAUCUGCCUGUGACAUGCCCAACCCAGCUACAAAGGCCCACAGCUGAGUGGUGUCAGUCUGACAACUCAGUUUCACCGUGCUGCUUUCUCAUUCCCCUUUCUCAAAAGAACUGGGAGACAAAAUGUUAUGAAAAAGGCUCACAGGUUGAGAUAAGGAUGGGAAUAUCGCUCACCAAUUACUGUCAUGGUCAAAACAGACUUAAUGUAGAGAUGAAUGUAAUUUAUUGCUUAUUACUAACAAACUAGAGCAGCAAGAACUAAAAGCAAACUACAAAUGCUGUCACCUCAUCCAACCCUGUCCCAUCUCCUUUCUCUGAAUGGUGUGGGGAAUGGAGGCUGCAGUCAGUCCAUAAUGCUUUGACUUUGCUGUGGUGCUAUGUCUUGGUGUGGUCUGCCAUUGUGGCCUGGAGCAGUGUGCCAGUAGAAGGAGUCUGUGACUGGCAACCUCAGGGUUCCCUUGCCACCAGAGAUUUGUAUUGAAAAAAUACAGUAUGAACUUUCUUACCAAUGCUGGAGAAACCAUAAGGUAGUGAGGGAUAAUUACACUGCUUCUGGUUUUGCUGAAUGAUUGUAGUGCCUCUUCUCCUUCACACUGACUUUCUUUGAAGCAAAGGGAGCUGAAUGUAAGUUUGAUUAGUUACUGCCAGGACAGAAAAGGCAGAGGAAGAUGAGAGGUUGAUAAAUGGAGACAAGCUUUCUGUAGAGAGUAAUUCAAGCUUUCUUGUACAGCGUGUGACUUUUCCCUAAUGCUGCAAUGCUUAAAUCAUUGCAUUUUGAACGGCCAUCUGUAAGAAGCUUGUUCUUCCCUGACAAAUUAUAUAUAAAUUAUAUACAGAUUCUGAGAAAGCUGUGUUUAUAGGAGCUGAUUACUCAUUAAACAAUUCCAGCACUAACUUCACUUUUUAACAAAUUACUGCUGUUAUAUUUUGGUAAUCUCUGUCUAAACAGAAUAAUAUCAGUGACUAAUACAGUUAUCCGUUAUACUGUGUCACCAUUUUCCCAGCAACUUCCCACUCAGCCUUUGGCCAGUUUCAAGCAAAGCUGAUGGUGGCCUGACAUUCUUAAAAGACAGCAAGUUUCCCCAGGUGUGAAAACACAGUGAGGUUAUCAGCUUAUUUGGACUUCCUGUGGUGAUGUCAUACCCACUUUCCCCAGACAAAUAACCGAAGGGCUGAACACUUCUGAAGGCACAGCUAUCAGCGUUGUGCAAGCAGCAAAGCUAAUGGUAUGCCAGUCUCCUGUGGUCAUGUCUUAUGCCUGGAUUCCCUAAUGUAAAAUCUAAGUGACGCUUGCGCCAUAACUUUCUUCAUUAUAAAAUCUCCCCUUUUCUUGUCUGGUUUUGUGCCGUUUGGUGAAUGUACUUUGGCUGGAAUCCUGCUGUCAGAUUUUCUUUAAAUUGUUCAGUGGGCAUGAAGCAAUUGUGAGAAGCAACGAUGUCAAAGACAGAGCAAUCACAUAAAUCUGCAUUAAUUGCCACAGCAUUACAAUUUUGCUGCCCUGCAAUAGAGCAGAGGAAGCGGAGGAUGGAGCGGAGCGGAGGAAGUGAUGCAGGGGAUUUCUUUAGUACUCUCAAUGCCUGCCUUGGACAACUUUCCCACCAAAAUAGAUAUCAACAUUUGUGAGAUAGUUAACAGUGGCAAGGGCUAAGCAGUCCUGUCUGUAAACCUGUGAGGGUCACAGCUGCGGGCUGCAGGAGACAUUGCUCCAACAGUGCAGUCAGUACUGUGCAUUCUGCCUUGUUUCUGGGGAGGCUGCCGAGCACUGAGGAGCUCUCAUCUGCAGAAGAGCAGGGGCCUUAAAACUUUGGUGUUGUGGAGAAGUGGGGAUGUUGGUGUUGGAGGAGUCUGCUGGCAUAUCUGUAUAUCUCUUUCCAGGAAUGAAGAGGCCAAAGAUCACUCCACAGAAUUUCUUCAUCCCACAGGAUCCAUUUCUUUACGAGCAAUGUUCUUAAAGGAUCCUGGGUGCACAAUAGCUUCAGGGAGGUCUGAAGGUGCGGGUCUGAGCUGUGACUCUCAGUGCUUGCUCUGCCUAUGCCUCAGCUGAUGACAUCAGCGGCUUUGUAGACAUAUCCUGUCUCUUCUUUCAUCUUCUUGGUGUUAGCCUGGUUAUUUCUACAAAGUACAAACCAAGACUACUUUACAGAGAAGGCAGGAAACAAGAGAGUUAUGACACUGGAAAUGGCCUAUUGUUUCUUCUCUGGCAAACUCCCUCUGGACAGCAGUUCUGGGAACUAGCUCUUUUUGUCAAGUGUUUGUUGUGAGAUGUGUUAGUGGUAUAUACCAUGGUGAAUUUGCCAGGCAUAGAGAUUCCCUUGGGGAAAAGUGCAAAGAAGCACAUUGGGCUGUCUCCAGAAGCAAAUGUUCAGAAAUGCUCUGCAAAGGUGUCUGAAACCUGAACUGUUUCCCAUCCUUAGUAAGGAUGAACACUGUCAGGGAACCCAGUUGCUAGAAGCAGUGCCUCCUGAAAGAUGGGACUUCUGAUUCUUACUUCUGACUAGGACAGAAACUUGGGCUUCACAGAAGUACAUUCUAUGAUAGACGAGAGAAAAUGAAGAUCCUCAAGGGAAGGUUAAGAUAAUUCCUCUUCCUUCCAAAACUGCCUUGCAGAAUCAGUGGAAAAUUUCUGUUCAGAACAAGGUCCUUGGCAAGGAUACACCACCAUCAGGUGAGAAGCAGAUGCCUUCAAGACCAUGCAGAGCAUUUCAACAUUCUUCUUCCUGUUUGCUCCAGGUGUAUCUCAAAAAAUAAAGCUGAGAAUGAUCUUGCCUGUCAUACUGAACUGCACAUGAUGGUGAUUUCCGAGCAAGAAGAUACAAACAUAACAGCCUCCACAUGCCCAUUGGAUCAGAUACCAGUAUGCUACCUCUUGCAAUAUUUGUGGUCUACUGCCACAUCCCAGAGCUGCCAGCCUCUGACCUGGACCUGCUUCUCUCUCCAAAUGAUAUGCUUGUCUCUAAUUCCACCUUGGCAUGGUAGCUACCCCACUUUGCCCUCUAGACACUCUGUAGGGCACAGUAAAGCAAUAUUGAACUGGUGCAUGUAGCACUAGGAUAUUGAAAAAUCCACCUCAUGGCAGAGUGAGCCUGAAGAUGCCUGCAGUUAGGGCAGCCACAGGGGUGCUCUUGGUGGGUAUUCAUCCAGUGCACUGACAAAUGAGGCCUCAAGAUCCUGAAAUCUGUCACUGAGCUUGAAAGCAGCCUAAUGCCAGGAUGCUAAGGCCUUUGACAUAAUCUCCUAUAACAACCUUUUCUCCAAAUUGGAAAGAUGUGGGUUUGAUGGGUUGUCUGUUCCGUGGACAACAAGCUGGUUGUGAGAUUGUACGCAGAGAUUGGUGAUCAAUGGUUCAGUGUCUGGAUGGGGAUCUGUGACAAGUGGUAUCUCUCAGGAGUCAGUACUGGGACUGGUGCUCUUUAACAUCUUCAUCAGUGACAUUAACAGUGACACUGAGUGCACCUGCAGCAAGUCUGCAGAUGAUACCAAGCUGUGUGGUGCUGUCGACAUACCUGAGGGAUGGGAUGCCAUUCAGAGAGACCUAGACAGGCUGAGCAGCAGGCAUCAUAAGGUUCAACAAAUCUAAGUGCAAGGUCUCAUGAUUGGGUUGUGGAAACUCCCACUGUCAGUACAAGCUGGAGGAUGAAAGGAUAUAUCACAGCCCUGCCAAAAGGACUUGGGGUACUGGGAAGCUGGACAUGUGCCAGUAAUAUACACUCACAGCCCAGAAAGCCAACUGUAUCCUGGGCUGCAUCAAAAGAAGCAUGGUCUGCAGGGUGAGGCAGGUCAUCUUGCCACUCUGCUCUGCACUGGACCUCACCUGGACUACUGCAUCCAGAUGUGGGGCCCUCAGUACAGGAAACAUGAAUCUGCUAGAGCAUAUCCAGAGGAUGUCCACAAAAUGAUCCAUGAGAUGGAACAUCUCCCCUGUGUGGACAGGCUGAGAGAGCUGGGGCUUUUCAGCCUGGAGAAUAGAGGGCUCCAGGGGGACCUGGGUGCAGUCUUUACAUAUUUAAAGGGGAAUGUAAGAAGGAAGGGAACAGACUCUUUAGAAGGUCUUUUUUGAUAGGGCAGAGGGAAAUGGUUUCAAACUGAAAGAAGGGAGAUUUAGAUUGGAUGUAAGGAAGAAAGUUUAUACAGUAUAGCAGGAGACUUUCACAGAGGUGGUCAAAUUAUCAUUAUCUGGCUCUGAUAGUAAGGCAAAGUUUCAUAAAUUAAUAAAAUGUCCAAAAGCUGAGUCUGGAGUGCUGGACUGAGUGUGGUGCCUGCACAAGCUUCUCUUCUUUAGGUUCUGUUUAGGCAGUACAUCUAAUGAACAAGUGAUAGCAGUGUGCGUUCCUGUGAAAAUACAGACUUGAUCUGUGACUCUCUUGGGACUCCCCUGUCCUGUAUCUCCCUACUUCUCAGCCUGGACUCUGGCCAGGUCCUUUCCAGCUCAGUCUUAGGUUCAUGUUUGCAUCCCAUAUCUAAUCAGCUGAUAUUUCUAGCUAGAUCCCUACUAUGUAUUUAUAGUUCUUCCUAAUUAUUAGGACUGUCUUCCUACAGUCUCAAGCUAAUCUGUUCUGUAUCUUCUCCAUGACAAUGUUACUUUGAACCCCUGGAUAGAGAUCUAUUGUCUCUAAGUCACCAGCACUGCUAAUCCCAGGGUGAGGCAGACAAGCGGAAGAGGAGAAACAUGUCAUGAAGUAGAAAGCGAAUUUUGACAAGUGUUUGUAUUCUGGACAUCUGUACUACUGUGGCUACAUAAAGGAAUUGAACGUAAAGGUCAAAAUAUGGACAUAUCAAUGUCUGCAGUUGCAGUGCAUUUGCAGUAAUGCUCUGCGUAUUUUAACAUGGGUGUUUAAAUGCCACUAUAAAUACAGAGUUUGACAGGUUAGUGAGUGAGUGGAGGGGUAGCUGAGAUUAACUUUUGUCAAAUGCUGCAGUAAUCUAAACCACAACCCACCUUCUGCUUCAUGCAGGAAGAAUAGCUGGGAGCCCUGGAAGGCUUCAGUAACAGCUUGUGGCUGUUGUCAUCAGAGCAGUGACGUAUUGUGGGGCAGGAUGUGUUGGCUGCACUGGGGUCUGGCAGCUGAGGCAACCAAACACCAAAGUUUAGCCUUAGGAAUACAGAACCUUUUUUUGAUUGCAGUGUUACAGAGCUGGUUAAUGAUUAAGAAAUUCAUUAGAAUGGUUCACAAGGAGCUGCAGCCACAAGAAGAAUAAGGCUUAUGCUGAAAUGAAAUUUUGUAGACUAAUUCUAGGAAUUAACUUAUUUUAGAAAAAUUGUAGCUACAUCAGUUCUUCUGGCAAUGGUCUGGUUGCAUCUUCUAUGAAAAUACUGAGAAAAAUGGAUAAAGUAGCAAAGGUGUCAUGGCAGGGGUCAAAGGACUCUGGUUAGCACAGCGUGUUAAUAUCUUACUCUUGUAAUACGUAACAGAAAUCCAGUGAUUUAAUAAUUCAGUAGAAGCUGAGAAAUGCAUUCCAAUUCAAACAUGAGGACAGUAAAGGACAUCCAGUUAAAGAAGUAAAUUGAAUAUUUGUGGCAUUAUUACAAGAAGAAUGAAUCAGUAAAGAGAACUCUUCAGCAGAUCUCUAGCAUGACAGCAAAAUAAAGGAAACACAUAUCAUAUUGUAUCAUAUAGAUAAGCCUAGGGGAACACAAAAUUUAUCCUGAUUUAUCCAACAUUUCCUCUGGAAAUUCAAAUCCCAGGUACUGUAAUACCCCAACAAUCCCAUGCAGAGCCCAAUUCCAUGGGGCUCCUCACACAUCAGUAUUUAGAGAAUAUGAAAGAAUGUGCUGGAAUAGGCUGACCUAGUUAUGACAACAGAUUUUGCCAUUUAUAAAAUACUUGUAAAAGGCGCCUGGUUAGGGAUGAAGGAAAUUCUUUUCAACCAAUUUAUUAUUUUUCUGGCAACUAUUUUUGGUACUUAAGCAGAAUUUAUGCAGUUAGUGCUUCCUUUGUUGAGAUGGUAAUAAUACCUCUGCAGAAUUGUAGCUAUAUUUAAAAUUACUGACUGACUCGAGCGUCCAAAAUGCUGAAGGGAGCAAGGACUGACAUUAAUAAUAUACCAGCAUUUUUGCAAAUUACAGUAUGGAGUUAAAAUAUAGUAUUGCAAUUACACUUGAUUGUUAGCAAAAGCAGACAAUUUAUAUAGCAAUGCUAUAUCUUUUCUCUUUCCUAAGUUACUUGCAAAAAUGCUAUGAACAUAUAUGAAUUGUCUGUUCAGUUGACCUUGUCUUCAUGGACAAGUGAAGGACAGUCCUAGGUAGGUGCUGAAUAUCUCCACUAAAGAAGACUCCGGCCUCUCUGUGCAACAUCAUUCCAGUCACCCUUACAGAAAGGUUUUCCUCAUGUUCAGUCUGUGCUGCUUGUGUUUCUUUGUGCUUAUUGCCUUUCCUAACGUAAUGAUUGACAUAAGUCGUCUUCUCUAUGUAAAAGGCUGCUGUAAAAAGGAAAAGGAACAGUAUCUUCUCCAUGUUGUAGUGGAUGUGGCAACGUGUAGACAGCUGGAUCUGCGCCAAGGAUUCUCUAAUGUUAGGACAGACUACUUAACAGUGGAGAUUGAGAAAUAUCAGUAUGAAUUUCCUGGAGAGAUUUGAAGUCUCCAUCUCUGGAGAUAGGGCAAAAAUAUUUUAGUUCAUCUUGCUUCAGGGCAAGGGACUGGGAUAAGUGACCUUUUAAAGUCCUUUGAUUCUGAGAAAGCAACCAGCAGCUUUUAAGGCAGGGUUGUCUAUGUUUGUUUUAAGGAGGCUGCAAUUUCCAGCUCUUUUUUGUCUAAAUAGGAACUCGCACUGGGGUUCAUUGUUUAACAGGAAAAAUUCUUGAGUUUCACCUUAGCUGGAAGACUUAAUUUCCUGUUUGAUAUCAUAAACAAUAUUGUAUUUGCAGAGAAGAAAUUCCCAGAUAUCUUAUUUUAAAAAAAGAACAGAACAGCAACAUUCAAAAAAAACCCAAAGAACUGUGCAGUAUGACAAAGUAAAAAACUUUCUAGUAUAACACUACCUUUUAGCAAGUUAUUUCCUCUUGCUACCAACUAUAAUCUGAUCCAAAUUAAUUACAUUUAGGCCCUCAGAAUAAAGUAGAUACCUUGUAUUUCAGUGUCUAAAAGUGAGUUCCCAGUGCUGAGCUACUGAUCUCCUGUGGCCUAUCAGGUUCACAAAACAAUUCCCCAUCUGCCUUACCUGCAGCAUGCAAACUACUUGAUAAUAUGACAGCCCAACAGAGGAAUAAGAAUUUGCUGGAAUAGAAAGAAUCAUUUUCAAAUGUACAUAGCAAUGAAUACUUGAUUUCAUGUGAUGGAACAGCUUCAAGUUGGGUCCUCGGGUAGCCCAGACUCAUUCUUCUGGAAGGUGGGAGAUUUGAAUGCAAUUUUCUGCUCCAAACCAAGGAAGGGGAUUCCAGCCUGGUUCUGCUACACCUUACGAGUUCUAUAGUCUACUGUGCCAAUGUGCAUAUGGUUAGAGUGGAAGAAUGGGGAAGAAUAUCUGACUUGCAUUUCUGUGUCUGUGGCAAGACACUAACAUGAUGAGCAUUAUCCCAUUUUAGAAUGUGACUUCUAAUCCAAGAAGGUUAUUUGAGUUUUUUAGAUUUAAGAAGCCUGCUUUUGCUUUUUGGCUGUGUCAUGGACUCCCCCUGUAGAUUUAUUUGUUCUAAGGCUGUCUGUAAGUCUGCCCAGAUUUGUUAACAGUAUAAGCUGAUGACUGAUUAGAUCCUCAGGUGAAAUGCUGCCUAGGAAAAAAAAAAAAAAAAAAAAGAAAAAAAAAGUUCUCUUUUCUUAUUUUAGUGAUAGUUUGCCCCUUUGAUCCAAUUGCUGACUUGAAUCCAUGUAGAGAAAGAUUUCACAUGAAUUCCUAUUUUGAACUACUUACAGCUUCUAAAGCUUACUUUUCUUUGCUGAAGUUUUCUGGAGGUGGUUGCUGUCCAAACAUGAUGAUUUACUUUGACCAGCAACAUUUUCAGUCACAGUUGGAAGAACCAUUUCCUCUAUGUAUUUAAGAAAUGAAUACACGACCCUCUUUCUUUGGAAUAGUUCCACAGCUGAGAAGAAAGUAGGAAAACACAACUUCCUUCUGAAAAAUACUUUUGCACAUUCUGUUGGUAGUUUGUUUGGACUUCAGUGAGUUCAGGGACAUUGAAAACUGAAGUUCCUGGAGGAUCUGUACAUCUUGUGAAGUAUGUAGGGAUGCCCUUAGUGGAAGGAGCUGGUCUCUGAAAGACUUGACUCCAGCCCCUAUGCAGAACAGAGCCUUUAUCUUGUGUCCAGCCUCAGAAUUCCAACUCAUUAAUUUGCUCACCUGUUUUCAUUCUCAAAUGAACAAAAACAUACCUAAGAAUUUGCACUGACAGCCAGCUAAGAGUCUCACAAACUGAAGAGGAAAGCAAUGAGGGAAGGAGAAACAGCCCCACAAAUUUUCUGUGCACCUCCUUGGCUCUCCCCUGCAGUGUAUAUCCCCUUGCUCACCAGGUGAAUGCGAUGCUGUCCUGCAUUCCAUAGGCACUGAGAUGCAAGUACCUUGAAGGGAGGCCUAAGCUUAGGGAGACUAGAAAGCACCUGUUAGCAUAACUGUUCAACAAGUUACUUAACACAUGCUUCCAAAAAGCAUGCCUAAGAGUGCCUGUCCCUGUGACCUAUUACUUACACAGCACUGAGUAGCACUGCUCAUUACUUUCCUCAUAGGAUGUUUCGAAGUUCCUUAUAGCAGCAUGUCUGAUGGCAGGGAAAGGCCUUUGAGUGCUGCAGGGAGAUUGGGAUGAACUCCUACAAGAAGGCCCUUUCUCAGGGGAGGAACAUCUCAGUGAGGGAACUGUGUACCUUCCACCAAAAAAAAGCUUCUUUGCUAAAUUAUUUAUGCUAACAAAAAGCAUAAUAUGUGGAGUACUUUGCAAGCUCUUAUAUCUCAUGGCACAGAAUUGUAUAUUUUUAAGCAGUAAUGAUUGUUCCAGUUUUUCUAAUUGAAGCAACAGCCACAGAUCUUGUAAUGCUAAAAAAAAAUCUUGGCAGCAAGCUCCCUGAGGUUGCUAUUCCCAAAGUUCCUAUUGCAAGAACAGAAAUCAAAACUACGUUUAAUGCAGAGUUAUUUAAAACGAUAGGCUAACUUACAAGUCUGAAAGGGAAGGAAGACGAAACCAUUUACAAAAGCAUGUUGUAACAAUUAAGGGUGUUAUUCAUAAGCCAGUCGCUCCGAACUGACACUGUCCACCCCUUCUCCUCCCACCUUCCCUAAUUAGUUGUUAUGAUAGAAGAUUGCCCCUAAGAGGGACAGGUUUCAGGACAGUUGUCCCCUAUUCCCUUGACUUUUUCAGCUGCUGCUAACACCAACCUUUGCAUUGUAUGUUGUGUAAGCAUCAAUUUAGUGAAUGACUCACAGAUGGCUUGUAACUGAACAUUUAUUAGGGCUUCACUGCAGCAUACAUCCAUGCUGGCACAGGUAGAGCUGCACGUACUUCACUAAUGGUGCCAAUUCCAGGCUUUGGAGUGCUCUAUUUGCA